CCCCAGGGAGCAUCUGAGCCACCACUUCUUCUGAGAAACCAGAACCAGCCCCGCCCCCUGCCACUGGUCUGCGAACAGGGACCUCAGUGUCUUCCCUUCUCCCUGGGAGCUGCUUGGUGCACAGGAUGCCACCACUGGAAGCUGUCAUCUUCCUCUCCCUCUGGGCCUUUGGCCUUGGGCAGUUAAAGUUGGAGCAACCUGUAAUAUCAGUUUCCAGUGCAAGGGAUGAGAGUGCCCAGAUACCUUGUAAGGUGUCCUCUGGCACCUUUGGCAAAGAUUACAUUCACUGGUACCGGCAGAAACCAGAUCAGAGUAUAGAACAUUUAAUACAAGUUGCCUCCACAGCCACUGUUUUUGGGAAGAACAGCAAAUUUAAGGCAAGUAAAUAUACACAAACUUCAACUUCUACCUUGACAAUAAAUUUCUUAGAAAAAGAAGAUGAGGCCGUGUACUUCUGUGCCUGCUGGACUGGCAUACACAGCAUUAGAGAUGCCAGGAUGAGCUGCACAAGAACCAUCAUCAGUCUGUGCCCACCCACAUCCUUCUCUCAAUGA